AAGAGUUUGAUCCUGGCUCAGGAUGAACGCUAGCGGCAGGCUUAACACAUGCAAGUCGAGGGGCAGCGCGAGUAGCAAUACUUGGCGGCGACCGGCGCAAGGGGGUAACGCGUAUGUAAUCUACCAUUAACCGGGGAAUAGCCCAGAGAAAUCUGGAUUAAUGCCCCAUAGUAUUAUCGAAAGGCAUCUUUUGAUAAUUAAAGCUCAGGCGGUUUUUGAUGAACAUGCGUGUCAUUAGUUUGUUGGUGAGGUAACGGCUCACCAAGACUACGAUGACUAGGGGGUCUGAGAGGAUGAUCCCCCACACUGGUACUGAGACACGGUCCAGACUCCUACGGGAGGCAGCAGUGAGGAAUAUUGGACAAUGGAUGGAAAUCUGAUCCAGCCAUGCCGCGUGCAGGAUGAAGGUCCUAUGGAUUGUAAACUGCUUUUGUAUGGGAGCAAUAAGGUCUUCGUGAAGACUGAUGAGAGUACCAUACGAAUAAGCAUCGGCUAACUCCGUGCCAGCAGCCGCGGUAAUACGGAGGAUGCAAGCGUUAUCCGGAUUUAUUGGGUUUAAAGGGUGCGUAGGCGGUGAUAUAAGUCAGCGGUGAAAGUUUUCAGCUCAACUGGAAAAAUGCCGUUGAUACUGAAAAGCUUGAGUACAUUUGAGGUAAGCGGAAUGUGUAGUGUAGCGGUGAAAUGCUUAGAUAUUACACAGAACACCAAUUGCGAAGGCAGCUUACUAAACUGAUACUGACGCUGAUGCACGAAAGCGUGGGGAGCGAACAGGAUUAGAUACCCUGGUAGUCCACGCCGUAAACGAUGCUCACUCGCUGUUUGCGAUACACAGCAAGCGGCCAAGCGAAAGCAUUAAGUGAGCCACCUGGGGAGUACGAUCGCAAGGUUGAAACUCAAAGGAAUUGACGGGGGCCCGCACAAGCGGAGGAACAUGUGGUUUAAUUCGAUGAUACGCGAGGAACCUUACCUGGGCUUAAAUGUAGAGCGACAGAUUGUGAAAGCAGUCCUUCUAGCAGGGCUGCUUACAAGGUGCUGCAUGGUUGUCGUCAGCUCGUGCCGUGAGGUGUCGGGUUAAGUCCCAUAACGAGCGCAACCCCUAUUAUUAGUUGCCAGCGGGUAAUGCCGGGGACUCUAAUAAGACUGCCAGUGUAAACCGUGAGGAAGGUGGGGAUGACGUCAAAUCAGCACGGCCCUUAUGUCCAGGGCUACACACGUGUUACAAUGGCCGAUACAAAGGGCAGCUACCAGGCGAGGGGGAGCGAAUCUUUAAAAUCGGUCUCAGUUCGGAUCGGAGUCUGCAACUCGACUCCGUGAAGUCGGAUUCGCUAGUAAUCGCGCAUCAGCCAUGGCGCGGUGAAUACGUUCCCGGGCCUUGUACACACCGCCCGUCAAGCCAUGGAAGUUGGGGGUGCCUAAAGUUCGUGACCGCAAGGAGCGACCUAGGGUAAAACCAAUGACUGGGGCUAAGUCGUAACAAGGUAACC
rnacentral:rRNA from 1 species